AACGAACGCUGGCGGCAUGCCUAACACAUGCAAGUCGAACGAAGUCUUCGGACUUAGUGGCGCACGGGUGCGUAACGCGUGGGAAUCUGCCCUUGGGUGCGGAAUAACUUCUCGAAAGGGAUGCUAAUACCGCAUAAUGUCGUAAGACCAAAGAUUUAUCGCCCAAGGAUGAGCCCCGCGUAAGAUUAGCUAGUUGGUGGGUAAAAGCCUACCAAGGCGACGAUCUUUAGCUGGCUGAGAGGACUGAUCAGCCACACUGGGACUGAGACACGGCCCAGACUCCUACGGGAGGCAGCAGUGGGGAAUAUUGGACAA
rnacentral:rRNA from 1 species